rnacentral:rRNA from 1 species
CUGCAGCAGWRACGAACAGCKGGGCGGCGUGCYUAMCACAUGCAAGUCGAACGGUAACAGUCCUUCGGGAGCUGACGAGUGGCGCACGGGUGAGUAACGCGUGGAUAUCUGCCUAUUAGUGGGGGACAACUACAGGAAACUGUAGCUAAUACCGCAUAAUCUCUACGGAGGAAAGCAGGGGACCUUUCGGGGCCUUGCGCUGAAUAGAUGAGUCCGCGUCUGAUUAGCUAGUUGGUAAGGUAAUGGCUUACCAAGGCGAUGAUCAGUAACUGGUUUGAGAGGAUGAUCAGUCACACUGGAACUGAGACACGGUCCAGACUCCUACGGGAGGCAGCAGUGGGGAAUAUUGCACAAUGGGGGAAACCCUGAUGCAGCGACGCCGCGUGCGGGAAGAAGGCCUUCGGGUUGUAAACCGCUUUCAAUUGGGAAGAAGAGAUGAGUACUAAUAUUGCUCUGAUUUGACGGUACCUUUAGAAGAAGCACCGGCUAAUUUCGUGCCAGCAGCCGCGGUAAUACGAAAGGUGCAAGCGUUGUUCGGAUUUACUGGGCGUAAAGAGAUCGUAGGUGGUUUAUUAAGGUCGRAUGUGRAAUUCCCGGGGCUCAACCCCGGAACUGCAUUCGAUACUGAUAGGCUAGAGUUUGGGAGGGGGGUAASSGGAAAUUCCUGUGGUGUASCAGUGUGAAAUGCCGUAGAUAUAAUACGGAGGAACACCUGGGAGGGCGAAGGCGGGCUUACUGGRMCAAUACUGACACUGAGGAUCGGAAAGCGUGGGUAGCAAACAGGAUUAGAUUAYCCUGGUAGUCCACGCCCUAAACGAUGUCAACUAGCCGUUGCGGGUAUCGACCCCUGCAGUGGCGAAGCUAACGCGAUAAGUUGACCGCCUGCGGGAGUACGGKCCGCAGAUMACMAAUAAAUAGGU